AAAAAUGUGUACCAAUAAAUAUUAAUUAUUAAUAUUUUCCCCUGCUUAUUUUCGUCCAUAAUUUGUUGUGUGUGAUUGAAUUUUUUUAUAAAUAGCCUGGCUACGUAAUCGAUUACAUAUAAUUUUGAUAACACUAUUUAACAAAACAUUGAUAUCAUUGGCUCCACAUCAAAGAAACCAAAAAGCUCAUCCUACAUCACACAUUAUUAUACGCACAUCAUGAGCAAUGAGAUUACAUAAAAAGCAAAGAUAUGAUCUUUAUUUGAUGGGGAUGGAUUGAUGCAUCCUGGUGGUGAUGACUGGUGAAUUGAUUGUUAUUUCCUAUGUUUUUGUUUUUUUUUUUUUUCGGUAAGUUUCAGUUGGUUUUCUCAAAAUCAUCAUUAACUUUUAGAAUAUGUUUCCAAUUAUUUUUCGCUAAACAAAGGAGUAUCUUGUUUCUU